rnacentral:rRNA from 1 species
UACGUAGGUGGCAAGCGUUGUCCGGAUUUACUGGGCGUAAAGAGCGCGCAGGCGGUCGUACAAGUCGCGUGUGAAAGCCCCCGGCUCAACUGGGGAGGGUCACGCGAUACUGUUCGACUCGAAGGCAGGAGAGGGAAGCAGAAUUCCCGGUGUAGUGGUGAAAUGCGUAGAUAUCGGGAGGAAUACCAGUGGCGAAGGCGGCUUCCUGGCCUGUUCUUGACGCUGAGGCGCGAAAGCUAGGGUAGCAAACGGGG